AUUGAACGCUGGCGGCAUGCUUUACACAUGCAAGUCGAACGGCAGCACGGGGGCAGCCCUGGUGGCGAGUGGCGAACGGGUGAGUAAUACAUCGGAACGUGCCCGGUCGUGGGGGAUAACGUAGCGAAAGUUACGCUAAUACCGCAUACGAUCUGAGGAUGAAAGCGGGGGACCUUCGGGCCUCGCGCGAUCGGAGCGGCCGAUGUCAGAUUAGGUAGUUGGUGGGGUAAAGGCCUACCAAGCCGACGAUCUGUAGCUGGUCUGAGAGGACGACCAGCCACACUGGGACUGAGACACGGCCCAGACUCCUACGGGAGGCAGCAGUGGGGAAUUUUGGACAAAGGGCGCAAGCCUGAUCCAGCCAUUCCGCGUGCAGGACGAAGGCCUUCGGGUUGUAAACUGCUUUUGUACGGAACGAAAAGGCUCUGGCUAAUACCUGGGGCUCAUGACGGUACCGUAAGAAUAAGCACCGGCUAACUACGUG
rnacentral:rRNA from 1 species